rnacentral:misc_RNA from 1 species
GAUGAAGAACGCAGCGAAAUGCGAUAAGUAAUGUGAAUUGCAGAAUUCAGUGAAUCAUCGAAUCUUUGAACGCACAUUGCGCCCGCUGGUAUUCCGGCGGGCAUGCCUGUUCGAGCGUCAUUUCAACCCUCAAGCUCUCCGGAGUUUGGUGUUGGGGCGCCUGGGGCUUUUCGACCUCAGGGCCCUCAAGUCCAUCGGCGGGACCGCCAUGACACUGAGCGCAGUAGUAUUAUUUCGCUCGGUAGGAUCUUCCACGGCGGGUCGAUCUGGCCGCUAAACCCCCCAAUUCUCACCAAUGGUUGACCUCGGAUCAGGUAGGAAUACCCGCUGAACUUAAGCAUAUCAAUAAGCGGAGGA